UACGUAGGGGGCUAGCGUUGUCCGGAAUCAUUGGGCGUAAAGCGCGUGUAGGCGGUCCGGUAAGUCCGCUGUGAAAGUCGGGGGCUCAACCCUCGGAUGCCGGUGGAUACUGUCGGGCUAGAGUACGGAAGAGGCGAGUGGAAUUCCUGGUGUAGCGGUGAAAUGCGCAGAUAUCAGGAGGAACACCAAUUGCGAAGGCAGCUCGCUGGGACGUUACUGACGCUGAGACGCGAAAGCGUGGGGAGCAAACAGG
rnacentral:rRNA from 1 species